rnacentral:rRNA from 1 species
UACAGAGGUCCCGAGCGUUGUUCGGAUUCACUGGGCGUAAAGGGUGCGUAGGUGGCAUAGAAAGUUUGAUGUGAAAGCUCAGGGCUUAACCCUGAAAUGGCAUUGAAUACUGCUGUGCUGGAGGUUUGGAGGGGGGACUGGGAUUCUUGGUGUAGCAGUGAAAUGCGUAGAUAUCAAGAGGAACACCGAUGGCGAAGGCAGGUCUCUGGGCAUUAACUGACGCUGAGGAGCGAAAGCAUGGGGAGCGAACAGG